UACGUAGGGUGCAAGCGUUGUCCGGAAUUAUUGGGCGUAAAGGGCUCGUAGGCGGUCUGUCACGUCGGGAGUGAAAACUUAGGGCUUAACCCUGAGCCUGCUUCCGAUACGGGCAGACUAGAGGUAUGCAGGGGAGAACGGAAUUCCUGGUGUAGCGGUGAAAUGCGCAGAUAUCAGGAGGAACACCGAUGGCGAAGGCAGGUCUCUGGGCCACUACUGACGCUGAGAAGCGAAAGCAUGGGGAGCGAACAGG
rnacentral:rRNA from 1 species